AUCGGCAAAUGAUGCAAUAUCAUCUUAUCCUACGCACUGAAAUAUUGUGUUGAUUACAACUCCGCUUAUUGUCUGAAGCCAUU